rnacentral:sRNA from 1 species
GCCGUGCCAAAGGCAUUUGUUCGUUCUUUCAUUGGCAGUUUGUUUGGUUUGUAACAUCAUCUCGCCAGAGUAACGUAUAAAAACCGCAUAACGUGCUCUAUAUUCAAACUAUAAAUAAUUUGGAUAUAAAAAAGAAAUACAACAUACUCUAAUAACAAGCCGUAGAAGAAGAACAUCAAACAGGAGGAGAACAAGAAGAAGAAGAAAAAAAAGAAAUAUUCUUCAAAAAAAAAAAAAAAAAGAAAAGGGUUUUUAAAGAGCAAAAAAUAAAUAAUAAAUUAAAACCAAAACUGCAAGUGUUAAUUUUUGCGAAAUCAAAAAAUUAACAAUUUAACAAAACGAAAAAUUGUUGAAAAUUUCUGUUCAAAGAAAAUUUUGUGUGCCGAGAAUUUUGAAGCGAGAAAAAACGUUCAAGUUUUUCCUAAAGUGAAACACAAACAUGGUACUACUUUUCAUGAGCUCAGCAAAAAAGUUAUGCUUUCCUAAACACCAGCAAAACAACAAUAACAACUUAACAACGUUUUACUCAACAUAACAAAGAACUUUUGUUGUAAUUGAAAACCCACUACAUUAAAAAUACCAAUAACAAAAUCAGGAAUCUUCGUAAAAAAAAUUCACGUUUUUUUUUGAGAGGAACAUUGUUUAGUGUAGAGUUUUCAGUUCACUUUUUUAGGUAUUCACCUGCACUCCCCAUUUAAGAAAUAUCUAUAUAUUAUUGUUAAUUCCAUUUAGUUACUAUUUUCAUUAA